rnacentral:rRNA from 1 species
GACGAACGCUGGCGGCGUGCUUAACACAUGCAAGUCGAACGGAAAGGCCCUGCUUUUGCGUGGUGCUCGAUUGGCGAACGGGGGAGUAACACGUGAGUAACCUGCCCUUGACUUUGGGAUAACUUCAGGAAACUGGGGCUAAUACCGGAUAGGAGCUCCUGCUGCAUGGGGGGGGUUGGAGAGUGUCGGCGGUUGGGGAUGGUCUCGCGGGUUACCAGCUUGUUGGUGAGGUAGGUGCUUACCAAGGCUUUGACGGGUAGCCGGCAUGGGAGGGUGGCCGGCCACAAUGGGCCUGCGGUAGGGACCAGAAUGCUACGGGCGGCAGCAGUGGGGAAUCUUGCACAAUGAGGCGAAGCCUGAUGCAACAACGCCGCGUGCGGGAUAACCGCCUUCGGGUUGUAAACCGAUUUCGACUGAGACGAAGAGUGCGUGACGGUACUGGGUAAGGAAGCAACGGCUAACUACGUG